GCACUUGAAGAACUGUCGCAGCUGUGCUCAUAAAGUUACCUGGUUCUGAUUCUUUUAUAUCUGAUACUGCGCGUAAAAGUUGAUUGAGUCCUUAUUGGUCAUGUAGGCUAAUGUUAUACUGCAACUCGGGGUCUAACUGUUCAGUUGUGUGUACAUUGCUUAUUUGUGCUUACUAACAAAUUUACUUUUGCUCAUAGUUUGCGUUAGACAAGUGGUACCCAAAAAAAAAAACUCAUUUGUUAAUAUAAGAUUAUAAUUGUUUUUUAAUCUGUUAUUGGUGAUAUAACUGACUAUAGAUGGACCAUUAAGACUUGAUACAUUUCUUGUAAGCUUAAAUGCAUAUUGUCUUAAUGCAGUUUCCAAAUUUUGUGGGAAUGUGGAGUGGUGUAGGCAUACUGCUCUAGUUGUUUUCUCUGACCCUUAGAGUUUCUGAAUUUAAUCACUGGACUGCUUCUUAUCUCGAUCAUGAUGCUAAGGCCGUUCGAGAAGACAAGUCUGCUGACGCUUGAAGUUGGUGGGCUGAAAUCCAAGUUCUGUGAGAGGACCCAAGCACUGAUCCAUUGAGAUCUACAGACCGGUUCUGUCAUGGUUACUCAGGAAUCAACUCAAGUCAUUGAUGCAGAAUUUGCAUUUUAUGGACCAAUAGGGUUUGACAUAGGAGUAUUCUUUUUUGUGGAUUCAGAUAACUGACGCUCUUUUAGGCCGGCACUAGCAGCAUGACUUAAUUGAAACUUGCGUUGAUUUGUUCCUUGACUGGUUUUUUAUGUUCUUCCACUGUGUUAUCCUCACCAUGUCUAGGGUGGAAUUUUCUUUUACUCAAUUUAUUGUCAUAGCAUAACGGGAUAAAUUACAUGAUGCAACUUUGCAUGCAUUAGUCACAUUAAUCAUUUAAAGGAGAAAAGGAUUUAAACACAGAAUUUCAUGCAGGCAUAUAAGGAGUGGAUUCUUAAGGCAAUUGAAGACUGUUGGAAUCUUUUUCAUGAUAGAUUCAUUAAACUUUGGGACGAGCAUAGAAAGGGUCCUGGCAAGGCCUAUCUUCCAUCAAAUUAUAACAAUGCUGAGGUUCUGCUGCUUGCAAAGAAGAGAUACAUGGCAGAUCUGUUUCAUGACACUCUUGGAUUUGGCUCAGCCAAAAUGAUAAGAUUUUGAAUCCAUCAGUAAUGCUAGGAAACGAGCCAGCUGCGAACGUCGAGCGCCUGAUUUUGCUAAGAUGAUUCUCUAGCAGAGAAGAAAGGUUGAAGGAGUUGCGGAAGUUGUUGCAGCUAUUCGGCAGUUCUAGUCAUAGCAAUGUUUCGGUUUCUAUAACUUAAAUGUUUGGUUUUGCUGUUGAGCACUUGGUUUCACUGAUUUAUCAAAACGUGGUUUCCAGCGUGAAACCAAACAUUUCCGGAGUAAGCUUUGUGCUCAAUAAUAAAAUCUUUCGGAAUUUUAUUGUCUGUUCGUGUAAAUUAUAAGAAUCUGGUCUGGUGAAGACCUUGAUAAAGGGAUAAGAAUGCCUUUCUUUUUCUUUUUUUUUGGAAAAAAACUCUUCUAUG